GAUGAACGCUGACAGAAUGCUUAACACAUGCAAGUCUACUUGAACUUCGGUUUGGGUGGCGGACGGGUGAGUAACGCGUAAAGAACUUGCCUCACAGUUAGGGACAACAUUUGGAAACGAAUGCUAAUACCUGAUAUUAUGAUUUUAGGGCAUCCUAAGAUUAUGAAAGCUAUAUGCACUGUGAGAGAGCUUUGCGUCCCAUUAGCUAGUUGGAGAGGUAACGGCUCACCAAGGCGAUGAUGGGUAGCCGGCCUGAGAGGGUGAACGGCCACAAGGGGACUGAGACACGGCCCUUACGCCGACGGGAGGCAGCAGUGGGGAAUAUUGGACAAUGGACCAAAAGUCUGAUCCAGCAAUUCUGUGUGCACGAUGACGUUUUUCGGAAUGUAAAGUGCUUUCAGUUGGGAAGAAAAAAAUGACGGUACCAACAGAAGAAGUGACGGCUAAAUACGUG
rnacentral:rRNA from 1 species